rnacentral:rRNA from 1 species
AAUAGAUACCCUGGUAGUCCACGCCGUAAACGAUGAGUGCUAAGUGUUAGAGGGUUUCCGCCCUUUAGUGCUGCAGCUAACGCAUUAAGCACUCCGCCUGGGGAGUACGGCCGCAAGGCUGAAACCCGAAGGAAUUGACGGGGGCCCGCACAAGCGGUGGAGCACGUGGUUUAAUUCGAAGCAACGCGAAGAACCUUACCAGGUCUUGACAUCCUCUGCCAACCCUAGAGAUAGGGCGUUCCCCUUCGGGGGACAGAGUGACAGGUGGUGCAUGGUUGUCGUCAGCUCGUGUCGUGAGAUGUUGGGUUAAGUCCCGCAACGAGCGCAACCCUUGAUCUUAGUUGCCAGCAUUCAGUUGGGCACUCUAAGGUGACUGCCGGUGACAAACCGGAGGAAGGUGGGGAUGACGUCAAAUCAUCAUGCCCCUUAUGACCUGGGCUACACACGUGCUACAAUGGAUGGUACAAAGAGCUGCGAACCCGUGAGGGUAAGCGAAUCUCAUAAAGCCAUUCUCAGUUCGGA